rnacentral:rRNA from 1 species
GUAGGGAAUAUUGGACAAUGGGUGAAAGCCUGAUCCAGCCAUGCCGCGUGAUAGAUGAAGGCCCUCUGGGUUGUAAAUAUCUUUUAUCUGGGAAGAAACUCCUCUAUUCUUAGAGGCCUGACGGUACCAGAGGAAUAAGCACCGGCUAACUCCGUGCCAGCAGCCGCGGUAAUACGGAGGGUGCAAGCGUUAUCCGGAUUCACUGGGUUUAAAGGGUGCGUAGGCGGGUUGAUAAGUCAGUGGUGAAAGCUCCGGGCUUAACUUGGAAACUGCCAUUGAUACUGUCAGUCUUGAAUGUCGUAGAGGUAAGCGGAAUGUUGCAUGUAGCGGUGAAAUGCUUAGAUAUGUUACAGAACACCAAUUGCGAAGGCAGCUUACUAUGCGAUAAUUGACGCUGAGGCACGAAAGCGUGGGGAGCAAACAGGAUUAGAAACCCUGGUAGUCC